GCCCUCGUGGAGUAGUCCGGUUCAUCUCGCCCCGUUCUCAGCGGGGAGACCGCGGGUUCGAAUCCCGCCGAGGGUA
rnacentral:tRNA from 1 species